UUGUUAGUUGCCAUCAUUGAGUUGGGCACUCUAGCGAGACUGCCGGUAAUAAACCGGAGGAAGGUGGGGAUGACGUCAAAUCAUCAUGCCCCUUAUGACCUGGGCUACACACGUGCUACAAUGGCUGGUACAACGAGUCGCAAGUCGGUGACGGCAAGCUAAUCUCUUAAAGCCAGUCUCAGUUCGGAUUGUAGGCUGCAACUCGCCUACAUGAAGUCGGAAUCGCUAGUAAUCGCGGAUCAGCACGCCGCGGUGAAUACGUUCCCGGGCCUUGUACACACCGCCCGUCACACCACGAGAGUUUGUAACACCCGAAGUCGGUGAGGUAACCUUUUAGGAGCCAGCCGCCUAAGGUGGGAUAGAUGAUUGGGGUGAAGUCGUAACAAGGUAGCCGUAUCGGAAGGUGCGGCUGGAUCACCUCCUUU
rnacentral:rRNA from 1 species